rnacentral:other from 1 species
CAGGUACUGUUUAGUUCGUGAAGUGGGAAAUAGAAUUUGACCAACACUUUAUUUUGGGGAACCUAACUUUGGGUGUUCUUUAAGGGCGCCCAAGAGGGUACCCACCUGGGAUACCAGGUCGCAAUUCUCUUCCUGUGCACGGCUAAAUGGUUUGGGG